rnacentral:rRNA from 1 species
UCUGUCCCUAGUACGAGUGGACCGGGAUGGACGGACCUCCGGUGAUCCAGUUAUCACGCCAGUGGUAUCGCUGGGUAGCUGCGUUCGGAUGGGAUAACCGCUGAAAGCAUCUAAGUGGGAAGCCCACCUCAAGAUUAGAUCUCCCGUGGCGCAAGCCCCUAAAGCCCCCUUGGAGAAGACAAGGUUGAUAGGUCGGAGGUGUAAGGUUGGUAACAGCCUAAGCUUACCGAUACUAAUCGGGCGUGAGGCUUGACCAUAUUU